UGCUGCAUGGUUGUCGUCAGCUCGUGCCGUGAGGUGUCGGUUAAGUCCCAUAACGAGCGCAACCCUACCUUUAGUUGCCAUCAGGUAAUGCUGGGGACUCUAAAGGAACUGCCUACGCAAGUAGUGAGGAAGCGGGGAUGACGUCAAAUCAGCACGGCCCUUACGUCCAGGGCUACACACGUGCUACAAUGGCCGAUACAGAGGGCAGCUACCUGGUGACAGGAUGCAAAUCUCCAAAGUCGGUCUCAGUUCGGAUCGGAGUCUGCAACCCGACUCCGUGAAGUUGGAUUCGCUAGUAAUCGCGCAUCAGCCAUGGCGCGGUGAAUACGUUCCCGGGCCUU
rnacentral:rRNA from 1 species